rnacentral:rRNA from 1 species
CGGGACGGGUGAGUAACGCGUGGGUAACCUGCCUCAUACAGGGGGGAGGUAGUUAGAAAUGGCUGCUAAUACCGCAUAAGACCACAGUACUGCAUGGUACAGUGGUAAAAACUCCGGUGGUAUGAGAUGGACCCGCGUCUGAUUAGGUAGUUGGUGAGGUAACGGCCCACCAAGCCGACGAUCAGUAGCCGACCUGAGAGGGUGACCGGCCACAUUGGGACUGAGACACGGCCCAG